rnacentral:rRNA from 1 species
CAACCCAUGUGAACCAUACCAAACUGUUGCCUCGGCGGGGUCACGCCCCGGGUGCGUCGCAGCCCCGGAACCAGGCGCCCGCCGGAGGGACCAACCAAACUCUUUCUGUAGUCCCCUCGCGGACGUUAUUUCUUACAGCUCUGAGCAAAAAUUCAAAAUGAAUCAAAACUUUCAACAACGGAUCUCUUGGUUCUGGCAUCGAUGAAGAACGCAGCGAAAUGCGAUAAGUAAUGUGAAUUGCAGAAUUCAGUGAAUCAUCGAAUCUUUGAACGCACAUUGCGCCCGCCAGUAUUCUGGCGGGCAUGCCUGUCCGAGCGUCAUUUCAACCCUCGAACCCCUCCGGGGGGUCGGCGUUGGGGAUCGGGAACCCCUAAGACGGGAUCCCGGCCCCGAAAUACAGUGGCGGUCUCGCCGCAGCCUCUCCUGCGCAGUAGUUUGCACAACUCGCACCGGGAGCGCGGCGCGUCCACGUCCGUAAAACACCCAACUUCUGAAAUGUUGACCUCGGAUCAGGUAGGAAUACCCGCUGAACUUAAGCAUAUCAAUAAGCGGAGGAACUGUUGCAAAAGCAAAAGAAGCUCCNCCAUGUGAUUAUAUUUUANGGCGUGAAUAGGGAGGAGGCGUGCCUGAUCACAUACAGAAGAACGAAUGUUCGGAGUGAUAGGUAUAUCAUGAGAGGAUUAGAGAAAAUAUAUCCGAGGAAAAUGCUGAUGCACCACAUGCAGAACGAAUAAGAGGCUUAACCACACAUACCACGAGUAACUUCGAAGAACUAAAUGAAGACUCCACGGAAUCCGCAACGUAGUGAGGAUGAAUCACGAGAGGAGGUAUUAUGAUGGUCCGGAUCAUGAUCAUGACACAUUAUUGGACAUAAUAACGAACGNGUCUGAAAUGAAUGAUCAAAACAACCAUAUGCACCUCAGAGGUCAG